rnacentral:snRNA from 1 species
AUACCUUCUCGGCCUUUUGGCUAAGAUCAAGUGUAGUAUCAGUUCUUCUCAGCCUGAUCUCUGAGAUUAGGAACUAUUUGUUUCUAAACAGUUGAUUAGGAUGAUUUCUUGAGCCAAACUUCACUGUGAUCUACAUACAAAAGGGCUUGCUCUUUUGUAGAUUUACAACUCAAAUAAAUUUCGAUUUGUUUGGGCUAGUUGAAGUGGUGAUCUUAGUAUUGCAGUAUCUCUAGGUAUCGCCGGUGAAUU